rnacentral:lncRNA from 1 species
UGCCCACUGAUUGGUGGGAAUUUUGUCAAGGUGGGUGUGAUAAUCUGGCUUCUUUCCCUUCCCAGCUCUUUAUAGUCUUUCUUUCUUUUUUAUCGUUCUCUCCCUCUCUCUCUUUAGAGAUGUGGUCUUGCUAUGUUGCCCGGGCUGAGUGCAGUGACUAUUCACAGGCCGGAUCUAGUGCACUGCAGUCUUGAACUCCUGGCUUACAGUCCUGCUGGUUCUGAGAGGCAGGGGAAGAAACGGCCACCAUGCUCUGCAGCUAGGUCUCAGCAUGAGGACCAAGAACCCUGGUGUUCCUCCACUCAUCGGAGCCGUAUCAUUUUGGUGCAUUGGCCAGGAAAGGAAAUUCAAUCAUGAGACUGGCUUCAUAGACCACCAAAGGAAAAUUCUGUAUCUUGGCAAGUAAAAUUUUACAUGGAAGUUAUCUACUACAUCACACUUGUGGAAGUUGCUAUACUCACUCUGCUAUUUGCAAGAGGGUUAUACGUGGUAGCACCUUCUAACUGACAUAUUGGACAGAGUUUCCAUUGCUGUUGUAUUUUGCUCAAUUAUUAUCCUUAUAGCAGGGAUAAUAGUUACUGACAAAAAGGAAGCAUGAAAGUUUUACUAUCACUGAGUCUGCUAGCACUUUUUAUUGGGUUUAGUAAUGAUUAACACCUCUAGUAGAGGAAAAUCUACAGGUACUUAAGAAUGAAAUCAAAAUUAUUAACAGGCUCAGGGAAAAUGCCGGCUCCAGCCCUGGAUGGCUACAAUCCCUCUUUAAUGAAUUCCAAUCUUCUUUAUGGAAUUGGUCAGCCCCUUUAUCAAGCCCUCUCCUGCUUAUAUGUCUUGUAUUGAUAUUUGGACCCUGUAUACUCAGUACCAUAACUCGAACUGUUUCUUCUCGCCUCAAAGCAGUCAAACUCCAAAUGGUACUGCAAACUGAACCACAUAUGGACACGCCAUUCUCCCGAGGACCCUUAAGUUGACCCUAGGAGGAGCCCUCACUGCUGUUCCCCAUUUGACGCCCCUUUUCAGCAGGAAGUAGCCAGAAAGAGUCGUCGCCCAAAACCCCCUAACAGCAGAUAGUGUGAUAUCACCACAGGGAGGAAUGUGGUAGGAGUUAUUAAGAAAUUAUUUUAGGCAGAGAGGCAAAGGGGUCCUUGGGAAGUUUUAGUUUUUUAAAGCAU